rnacentral:rRNA from 1 species
CCUACGGGACGCUGCAGUGGGGAAUAUUGGACAAUGGGGGGAACCCUGAUCCAGCCAUGCCGCGUGUGUGAAGAAGGCCCUCGGGUUGUAAAGCACUUUCAGUGAGGAAGAACGCCUGGUGGUUAAUACCCAUCAGGAAAGACAUCACUCACAGAAGAAGCACCGGCUAACUCCGUGCCAGCAGCCGCGGUAAUACGGAGGGUGCGAGCGUUAAUCGGAAUUACUGGGCGUAAAGCGCGCGUAGGUGGCUUGAUAAGCCGGUUGUGAAAGCCCCGGGCUCAACCUGGGAACGGCAUCCGGAACUGUCAAGCUAGAGUGCAGGAGAGGAAGGUAGAAUUCCCGGUGUAGCGGUGAAAUGCGUAGAGAUCGGGAGGAAUACCAGUGGCGAAGGCGGCCUUCUGGACUGACACUGACACUGAGGUGCGAAAGCGUGGGUAGCAAACAGGAUUAGAUACCCCAGUAGUC